ACUAAUAUCUGAAAGGUGAAACGUUUUUAUCAUGUAAAUAAGCGAUUUUAUUCUAGUAUGGUAACGUUAGUUUAAACUCUUGUUAUGAAGUUUUGGUAUGCCGCUUAGCGGAUUAGCAAGCGGCCCACCACUACCUUACCAUUGCUUCCAACUGUAGCUAGCUUUAUUAGUAACAAUUAGCUUAGCUAGAUAGCUAAUGUUAGGCUAGUUUACACACCUGGUUUUAUUAGAGACAGAGUGGCGUUAGCUACUCAUUGUUUCUCUUCUAAUCCACUAAGUUAUAGCUUUAAAUACUGUAGAAAAAACAACGCUUACAACCGUCCUUCAUACAAUUGAGUCGAAAGUAGGUUAAUUUAGCGCUUUUUAGCUAGUUAGCUAAACUAGCGUUAGCUAGCUAACGUUAACUGACAAACUAUGUCUUAGACGACAGUGUUGGUGAAGCAUUAACGAUACUAAUAUCUGAAACCCCAAACGAAGUGUAAAAAGCUAUUUUAAUUAGUUUAUUGUUUUAUUGUUUAUUGUUUUAUUUAGUUUAACUCUUGUUAGGAUGUUUUCUGUGGGUUUUGCGUAACGUUAGCAAAUUAGCAAGGAGCUAGCAUUUCUAUACCAAUGAUAAGCAUAUAAUGCAUAUGGAAGGCACCAGUAGAUGGGGAACAUGAACAGCGAUUUUGAAGAUGGCAUUCUUGAAGACAACUCACUAGGAGCUCUGAGUGACGUUUGGGAUGAAGAGCUGAGUGAUGACCUUUUGCGUAGCGAUGAAGAAGACCUAACUACCAGUGAUGUGGCCUCACAUCUGGGAUGUGAACAAGAGGUUGGAGCCCCUCAUCAUGCUGAGGAACCUAGAAGAUGCACUGGGGAGCAGCAGCAGCAGCAGCAGCCAGGAGAGAAACCGGACCAUGGUGAAGUUUUCGACAUCCCAAUCAAUGACCCUGAUGAAUUUCAAGAACUGACCAGAGAGACAGUUAGACCUCAGCAGCAGAAACAGCAGCAGAGGGAGGAAGAGGAGGAGGAGGAGAACUCCAGAGAUGAAGAAGAAAGCAGCAGUUUACAAGCUUCUGCUGCUGAUACUGUGAUCCACUCAUCAAGUGCAGCCAGUGAAGAGAAGAUCUUAACUGAAGCACUGGGGCUUUGUGAAGAGGCCAGACCAGCAUUUUGGGGACGUUUGAAUAAACAUGAAGGUCUUGCAAGAGAAAGAAGUGGAACACAGAUGGACACGCAGUUUCAUCCCUGCAAUGGAUGCCCUGGUCAAAAAGCCCAAAGGGAAUUUUGUCUCCAAAGCGAUGCUGUUUGCAGCCAAAGCUCUGUCUCCUCUCUACCUCCUCUCCUGAUGGAGCUGCAGUCUACAGGAGCAUCCCCCCAGCAAGUGCCCUUGACGUCUACACAAAGCCCAUCCAAUCCUGCUGUGGAUCCCUCGAGCCUCCAAGUUGUAGCAGACUCUUCCAGGCCUCUUCAUGAACAGACCAUCCCAGCAGGAAGUCAUCCAGUGUUCCCAGGACAGCAUAUGUUCGGUCAGCAGCACCACACCUCAGAGCUGGACGGCAGUCCGCUGCUCCACGACCCUGUCUCCACGGGGGCCGCUGGGCGUCCCGGAUGUUCAGGGGACCCCCGGGGGCCCCUCUGCUCUCCACAGAGAAACCUGGGCUUACCCAGCCUGAACAGUAGCCACCCUGCGCCCUUGUGUGUCCCAGGAGAAGCAUCACUGCAGCCGGUGCCAUCUGUCAUUGCACAGCAUCAGCCAUGUGAUACCGAGCCUUUCCAUCCAGACCAAGCCCUCUCUCUUCUACAAACUCCACCUGUUCUCCACCCUAAUCCAGAGCAGAGCAGCCAAUCAUCUUUAAGCCCUGUGCAAGCCCCUCCUUCUGCCUGGCUACCUUCUGUCAGUGUCGAAUCACAGAGCAGCCCUCUGAGCCGACCUGCCCCUAUUUGCUGUGCGGUCAUCAAGCCCAGAAUGGAACUGGCCGUUGAAGAACAGGGUAAAAGGAGGAUAAUGAAGUGUGCAGAGAAACAGAUGGAAAUGGGUCCAGAUUUCUCCUAA
rnacentral:lncRNA from 1 species